CCCGUGGCGCUCGCAUCGUUUUUGUUCGAGUUUGACGUUUGCCCACUACCGCCACCUAGUUCAUGGUCGGCCAAACUCAGUCCUUUUAGUAUUGGGCGAACAGGUUUCCGGGACUAUGAUUUGAAUCGAAAAAUGUUCGUAGUGUUACGUCUGUUUGUCUGUGCUUGUAGCUUGUAGUUUGUGAUUUCCUGUUGCAUAAAAAUCCUACAAGUACAAGUUACAAGUCUAAUACUACAAGUCGGUUGGACUAAUAUUAUUAGUAGAAUUUACCAGUGUCUGUUGCAUAAACAAACUACAAGUAUAAAAUAUUAGCUAUGACUUGUACUUUUAAUUACAAGUUGCAAAGGUCUUGUAAACAAUUUUACAAGUUAAUUUUAAUUAUUGCAGAAGUCAUAUUUCGUUUGAAAUUUAUUGAUUUACCAUUUUGAAACUCAUUGAGAGAUAAUUGCGUUGAUGUGCACGUCAUUUUGUAUACAAAAUAUCAUUUCUGUUAAGUUUCUCAAGUUCUCCAAAGUAUCUACGAUACCCAUCUUCGAUUUAUGUAUUAUCACAGACAAUGCUAUGGUUACUGCGUCGCUGCAUCAAAUCGAAGGUGCAACUUGAAGCACACGUGAAGUUGCAUAUGCGAAAUACAUUUGAAUCAAUUGUUUUUAUUGUGCAUAAUUGAGCUAAUUAAAAGCUACAAUAUGCACAGAUCCGAAUCGAGUGGAUACAUAUAAAAGUAGGUAAAAGCCUAGGGGCAAGACACUGCAAACGAGAGUAACUCUGAGAAAUUGUGAAUAACUCUUUGUACCUGUGAUCGACGAAUUUUGUUGAAAAACAUCCCUAAAACUGGCAAUAUUGUUUUGAUUUUGCGAUAAGUCAGGCAACACCCAUAUAAAAACGGGAGUAAUCCAGAGGAAUUCUGAGCAACUCUGUGACGGAAAAUGUACCCUCCAGCAAGCACAGUGUCUUGCCUCAAGGUAAAAGCUCAAUUAUCGCAUCCUAGGUCACUUCGGAUUUAAAAAAGAAGUAUGAUGCCUGUUGCUAAAUCUUUAUCCAUUGUUUUUCAAUUGAAUCUUUGGGACAUUUUAUUAAAAAUCUCGAUACUUUGUUCAGCAUAUUCACUAAUGCUGUUCCAUGUUUUGUGUAUGUAUAUUUGUCAUUUAUAUGUUUAUUGUUUUUGACGCUUUUGUCGUUUAUUUGUCUAUGAAAAUGCCAUAAUAAAACAACUUGUAAUAAUCAAUAAUAGUAAAAUUAAAAAAAAAAAAAUGUGUUACUUUAUUUUGGUAAUUGAAAUACCAUACUUAAUAAAAAAAUAUUUCGUUAGAGCGGCCGAAAAUGAUCCAAAUAGCACAUGCUUUUCUUCAUGUAUCGUAUACUGCCUAUGAUCGCAUAACUGUCUCAUAUGGUCCCAUAGGAAACCCCACAAAUAUGGGACUGAUAUGCUAUCAUAGGCAGUAUAGAAAAUGCAAAACUUCCGAAUAUAUGAAAUUAUUUUUAACGAACAUUCUGUUAACUUUUUUUCAUUUUGCUUCCGGAUGCUUUUCGAAAAAAUGCAGGAAAUAAACAAACAACAACUGCCAUUUCAAUUUAAUAGUGAACUGUCGGAUAAAUUUUGACAGGUAAAUGAACCAAAACAACUUGUAUUUUCAUGGUCACUAAUAUUACAAGUGCUAAUAAUAUUAGUGGAAAAUCGAGCCUUUAUGCAACACAAAUUAUUAGCACUUGUAAUAUUAGUACUUGUAACUUGUAGCUUGUAGCUAAUAUUAUUAGCCCGAUUAUGCUACAGGGCCCUGGUGGGGCAUGGGAGCCUAAGCUUCAACUGUUAAUGCAUUCAGAGACUACUCAGACCACGACUCAGACUUAGACGUGGGCGAUCCAUUAUAUGAAAGGUUAUCCAAAACGCUCUGGAGAAUUCCCGAAGCGCAUUCUCAUAAUGCUAGUAAGCCUAAGAUGCCAUUAACAGGAGGAAAAUGACAAGAUAAUAUAACAUUACAUGGUUUAUGUAAUGUAAACCAAUACAACAUAACAAAAGAGAACCAUUCCAAAACCAUUUAAUUAAAUGUAUAACCAGUGGUGAAACUACAAUUAAAAACAAUAUAUUUACGGUACAUUUUGUUGUUUGAAACCAUAUGUGUACCAUACAAUGUACGGUUUAUUAAAACCCACGUAUCAGUAUUUAUAACGCUUCCACCUUAUAAGGGCCUGUCCAUAAACCAUCUAGACUCUUAGGGGGAGAAGGGGUUCUGGUCAAAGUCUACGCUCCAUACAAAUUUCGAAAAUUCCGCAUGGAGAAAAGUCUACGAGGGGGGAGGAUGGUCUGAGAUGGCCAAAAAUGAGUCUACGUAGUUUAUGGACAGCGCCUAACUGGUUUCAUCUGUUUCCCAAUCGCUAUGCACUCGACCCCGUUUGUAUAAAAAUGCGGGGACGCAACCAAUCGCAUUCAAAUUUACUCAUACAACGUUGAUUCAUUCUUAGACAUGAAAUUUCUAAACGAUACACCUGAUCAAAUGUGGGCUUUUCAUUUAGUAACAUUUUCAUAGCCUAUCAAUCUUAAAGAUUGAAAACUCUUUACCGUCAAUAAAACCUAACGACUUUUAUUUUAGUUUUAUGAUGGUUUCAUGAACUCCUUCAAGUCUAUUUCACUAAAAAAUGUUAUUUGGGUCGUCUAGACGUUUCGUAUGCCUCGGAGUGUGGGUCAUUUAAUAAGUUAUCUGACCUGACAUUCGACCGUCACCUCGGUUCAUCACUGACUGGUUGCACACCACUGGUGAUGUAGAUGUUGCAUUUUUUUUAUUUCGUUUAUUUUUUUGGUCGCAUUGCCCGUUGGUAUUGAUUUAACCUUUGCCCAUGACAUAGUCCAACGAUAUGCAUGCUCUGAAUGCGAAAUGUGAGUCUCAUUAAUGUGUAUAUGGGAAUCGAACAACAGUUCUUUGAUUUAUCUCAUAAAUAUUAUGAUUUGAUUAAGGUUGAUUGCUCAAUUUAGUUUUACGGGGUGGGACGGAAAGCGAUUGGUGUCACGAUGUCUCAAUAUUUCGACUGAGUAAGAAUAUGCUGUUGCAGUACAGUCUGCUAGGCUAUACUCUUUAUUGCUUAUCAGCGAUUAGUGUCGUGAUAAGGACCACUAAGAAUGAGCUAAACUGAAUUAUUUAAUUAACGUUGUCGUGUCGAAUUUAUCAUAUGUUGACUACAGUAUUUCAGCCAUUAGGAUUAUAAGAAAUUAUUGUAGAUUUCUGGUUGAUCAUACUACCUAUCCCACAAUGCCGAGCAGCGCUCCAUGAAAAGCGUUUCAACACUGGAAUCCUCGCACUCAUUUUCGCGCCAAGGAGAAGAACAAUCACUUCACAAAGGGGGGUACGAGGCAAACUUCUAUAACAACAUAAUUAUUAGCAUGAUGCAUCCAUCGUUACGUUCGUCGUUCGAUAUGGCGGCGUGGCAGUGUGGUGCAUGUUGCAUCUAUUGCAAAAUCAAAAAGACCUUGGAGGCGUCCAAUGCUGACAUGUCUGUAGAGUUGGGUGGUGUGGAAGAGCUCUUCCUAUCGACACGUGAUUGCCUGCAUGCCUGCCUGCCUCAUAUUCGCCAAAAGUGGGUUAAUGAAAAGUGUCUCGUUCACUUGUUCCACCGCAUCAAACCGGGAGGGUGCAAAAGCAUUUUAAAAGCCGUUCACAUCAUUGGAGACUCUUCGUGGCUGACGAUGUCGUCUAAUGUGUGAGAAGGAAAGGGGGGAAGGACAUUGGAGGAAUCGUCUCCGGGCCAACUAUCUACUUAGUCGGUUUGAAUGGAAAAGGAAAGCAUUGCUUUUUACUGUUUUUGCUUCCUAGAAUGAUGAUGAAUAUUCUGAAUUCUGAAGAAAUUUGUUAAUGGACAACUUUUGGAAUGCCUCGGAUAUUUGUUGGCAAAAGUCCUGUAUGAUUUUUUAAGUCUUUCUACCUCAAUUUUUCGUGAAACUUCCACGAUAAUUUUUUGCGGAUUUUUAGCAAAUUUCGUAAAAUGUUACAAUUUUUUUCUCUGAAUGGGGUGUCGGAUCAUUUGGGCAGGGUGUUCUGUUUUGGGCACUUUUUGCUUAUAACUCAGUCAAUUUUAUACCAACUGAUGUGCAUUUUUGCACACUGGUGGGUAGGUAAAGUAUCUAGCCGUGUACAAAAAUGUAAGUGAAUUACCGUGCGGGAUCCAUGUUCUGAACGGUUAAGAGAAUCUCACAAUAAAGGGUAAAAUAUAGCGCAUUUAGUUCACCAGUGGACUAUCGCACGAGUUUUGAAGAGUGCGAAAGCGUAAAUAAAAGUGCGCGAUUGCAGCAAAUUAACUCGAUGUGUUCACUUAUUCAGCAUAAAUCAAAGAAAUAGUGCGCCCAUGACAUCAACUGGAUUGGAUGCAAUCGCGAACUUUUAUUAACGUUUUCGCACUAAUGAAGGCUGAGUGCGCAGUCCAGUGGUGAAUUAAAUGCGCAAUAAAUGGAAGUUCUUAUUUCUAGGGAUGCUGCGCAACAAUACCAUCAGGUUGGUUUGUUGUCUAGCUAAAUGUAGGUAUAAAAUAAAUUAAAUUUCAUAAUAACAUGCAGUCCACGAACUAGACAUAAUUUUGUUAGUAAACGACAUGUUUCUAAUUAUGAGAAGCGUAAGAAGUCGUGGUCCUAAUUCUGAACACUCAGUGUUAAUUACUAUGUAGCAACACAUUCUCUACGUUCGUAGAUGAGUCAAAAUCUAUAUGUUUUGUGACGGUUGGAUUAUAAAGGGCUUCAAUAAAAUUAACGCCUUAACUUUCGAUUCAACAUAUCCAAAUUCCACAUCCGAGCAUUGAGUUGGACACAACGACAUCGAAUUAAUCAAGGUUAACUGAAAUAACCAACCGGAACAACAUUACUAACCACUAACUGGAUUUCGAGGUAAAUUCUUUCCUUUUAAUUAGUUGUACACACAUAAAUAAAACAAAUAUUUAGAAGUAUGCAGAGUAAGCACAAGUAUCACCUUCAAAUGUAAACUGUAUAACCUUAUUUAACACUAAAUGCAACAUUAUACACUAACGAUUUAGGUGUCCAGUAUCAGCAAUUAACGAAAAGAAUUAACAAACUGUAGUCUGAAAAUGGAGCAUAUGUACUAUAAUGACGGCGCAGUACUAGUGAAGAAAAUGCAGGGAGAUGGACACUGUCUUUUUGCAGCUAUUGUGCAUCAAUACUAUCAUCAGGAGGUUGGUACAGAUGAACACAAUAGGAGAAUUAUGGAGCUACGACGAAGAGUAGUUGAACACAUAAGACUGAACAUCGAGGAUUAUCGUGCUUCACUGGCGGACACUGUGGCAGGCUUAGGACACUUAGGGCGCGGAGACAGGGAAACAAGAAUAGAGACAUUUCUACAAAGGCUCUCGGACACCAACGAAUGGGGUGGACAAGAAACAAUUGCAGCAGCAUCACACAUUUUGAACCGAAGGAUAGACGUAUACUAUGAAGAAGGUCCGAUAAUAGUAUUCAACCGACCAGCUGCUGCGGCAGGCGUGAUCCGUAUUGCGUAUAGAUCAAUUCGAGAACUCAGGAAUUCGGUCAGAACUCAUUAUGAUUCGAUUGUUCAAACAUUUAGGGCUCCUGUCGGGAAUGAAGAUGUCAGAGAAAUGGACAACAGGAUGUUACACCCUGAACCCAGGAUAACAAAUCUGCAAUUAAACAUGGGUAUUAAUGCUUCUCAGCUAAGUGACACGUCGGGUAUUAUGGGUCCCCUUGCUGAAACGCCCCUGGUACUGGAAGAGAGCAAGUUCCCGCUGAUGUCGUGGAAUGUUCGCGGCUGCUCCGAAGAACAUAGAAGAGAAAUGAUGGACCUAUAUUUCUGUCAAAAGGGUUAUCCUAUUGUGGCGCAUCAGGAAACCAGAAUGGCAGAAUGCUCGGUGGAAACUGCCAAUUAUUUCUGGUUUAACGUCAACUGCAGGACCAUAAGAGACCGAAUAGGAGGUGGAACCGCUAUCCUGGUAGCAAAAAGGGUUUAUGCAGAAAGUCGGUUCAGAAGAAUAAGUCAGAAUUCCUGCUCCUAUCUAGCCGACGUGUUUGGGGAAAAGGUCUUGAUCAUAUCGACGUACAUCAGGGCCGAAAAUCAAACGGAAAAUCCAGAAUUCCAGAUCCUUUUUAGAUAUAUAGUCAGUCUACCCCAGUCUAUAAAAGACAAAAUUAUCAUUAUGGGUGACUUUAACGCACACAUAGGGAAGAAUGAUCUGACACCUGAGGACGCUGAGAUAAUAGGAAGAAGUUUACUGCACGAGUACUGCAAUGAAAAUGGGAUCGGAAUGAAAAACUUUCUACACGGACUAAGACUCAAAAACUACUUGACCUUCAGUACCUCUUCCUCGGUCAUCACAACAUGGACAAAUGGUAAAUCGAAUUCACAGCUGGAUCAUGUAGCAAUGUCGGAAAUGAAAUUUAUGAAAUUACCUAACAUUCGAGCCUUCUUCGAUCUACAAUUAAAGAGUGAUCAUAAGAUGAUAGAGUGCAUCUUAAAGAAAGAGAGCAGCAGUAGCGUACUGGGCCAACGAAAGAACGAGGCAAGUAGAGGAGCAAAGCGUAUAAGAUUUGAUCUAGAACCAAUAAAGAACAAUGAGGAAGAGAGGGCUAGAUUCCAAGCUAGGGUGGACGACAGUCUACGAAAGCAACAGGAUGCUGAGGGCAGUGGAAUUAAAGGAAGAUGGAAGAAAAUCCAAGAGUCGGUAUUUAAGGCAGCCAAAACAGUACUACUAAAACCAGGAUCGCCUCCAACGCCUCGAAGAGUCAAUGCCUCGAAGAACUAUUUUAUAGCACAUCAAAUACAGCUAGCCGAUAGAACAAACCCAGUCCUCAAAGCCGAAGCGAAACAGGCCAGGAAACAAAAGAAGCAAGCAUACGUAGAUCAUUUCAAUGACAAAGUCAAAUCGUUCCUGGCGGAUAUCGAGUCUGAGAAUCCCCUCUCUCAAAUGACGAAAACGUUCCGAUUCUUAAAACAACAUUAGAGACAAAAAACAGCUGAAAAACGUCAAUACAUUCCUAUCCAACGUUGGAACCAAAGGCUACAAGAGUGUUCGAAUAGCGCACAGGAACAUGACCUUUCAAUCUAUGAAGAAGACGAUGGUAGAGAUGCAGGAGAAGAACCAACGAAGGAAGAAAUUAGGACAAUCAUCUGGAGCAGCAGAAACAACAGUGCACCGGGAUUGGACAAUCUGCAUAACGAAUUUUUGAAAUAUGGAAGUGACGAACUACUGGAGGAGAUCACCGAACUGUUGAAGGAAGUGUUCAGAACGAACAUUGUUCCAGCAUCGUGGAACGAAACAGUUCAAAUACCAAUACCUAAAAAGACUAACCCUCAAUCCGUGGAAGACUUCCGCUGCAUAACAUUGUGCUGUACAAUUUAUAAAAUAUAUGCGAAAAUACUUUUGGAUCGAUUGAGGCAGCAAAUUGAUCCAAUCCCAGCCUAUCAAAUGGCGUUCCAAGCCAAGAGAAGCGCGGCGGACCAAAUCUUCGUGUUACGGAGAAUCCUGGACGAACGUUGGAGAAAGGGCUGCAAAACGAUACUGGUGUCUCUGGACAUCAAACAAGCGUUCGAUAAGCUGGAUAUAACAAAAGCAGGUCAGAUUCUUAUUGACAUGGGUGUAUCUAAAGCCCUUGCUAAUAGAAUAAUUAGAGCAUGCUUACACGAAAAAACAUCCGUUCAGUGGUACGGCCAGCGAACACAAUCAUUCAAAAAAACCAAAGGCGUGAAGCAGGGAUGCCCACUAAGCCCACAGCUGUUCAUAUUGAUGCUUCAUCAUGUUCUGGCCUCUGUACAAGAAUUCAUACCAGAGCUAAAACUAUCACACGAGGGCACCCUGAUACUCCCAUGUAUUCUGGGAUUUGCCGACGAUAUGAUGUUCAUAUGUCGAACGGAAGAGGAUGUAGAAAAACUUCUUGGGAUCCUAGAACCUUUAUUACUUUCCAUCGGGCUAGAAAUCAAUGUCAAGAAAACUAAAGUUCUAUAUCGAGAUCCGGAUUUGACGAACAACGUGGCUCCGGAGAAAACAGCUAAAUUCGGAAAAUACGAACUGCCGGUGGUGACGAUUCUGAAAAAUCUAGGAGCACAGAUAACCAGCAGCCUAACUCGAGGAGCAACAACAUCGGACCGGAUUCGCAAGGCGCAGAAAGCGUUCCAUCACCUGUGUGCGUUCCUUAAACAACACCCUUUGAAAUGGGAGGUGGUGAAAAGGCUGUAUCACUGUUUAAUUACUCCAGUAGUUACCUAUUCUAUGGAGGUUUCUACCAUCAUUAAAAGAAACCGAGAUGCACUGCGGAAAAUGGAAAACGAAAUGCUCAUAACUUUGAAAAGCCUAAGCAGCAAAGAAGAGGAGAUAGAUCGGAACCAGGAUGUAGAUGUACCUGUUAUCGAAAAUGCGAAUGCAAUCAGCGAUCAACAAGAAGUGGAAGCUGGAGAAACGGCACCAGUAGCUGGAGAAGUAUUCGAAUCAGAAACCGAAGGUCAAGUGGCAGAUCGAGAAUUGCGAGACGGCAGUACGGGUGAUCAAGAGCCAGCCCGACGGUGGUUGAAUGGAUACACGAUAAAUAAUAAAAUCCGAGUAUCCAGACUUAAUUACUAUGGACACGUUAUUCGUAGCCCGCAUGGAGGAAUUCUUAAAGGCGCACUAGAGUUCAAAAUUGAUAAGCCAAAGAAGGUGGGAAGGCCGCCAUACACCUGGAGAACCUGCAUUCGCCAAGACAUAGAAAGAAGCGGACAAUCAAUACAAUACUGGCAAGAAGCAGCAUUAGAAAGAACAAAAAUGAAGGAGCAAACAAAGAAACUCUUUGAAACAAUGAUCGAGUCGGAGUACGAAGAGGACAGCGAUUCCGACUGGGACAGCGACGACAGCUCCUUGACACCUUCAGUCUUUUACGGUUUUAGCGAUGAGGAGAGCUUGUUCGUUGGCACAGGAGAAAACGAGGAGUUUUAGCGUAAAACCUAAAAUGGUUUUACAUUCACAUUUAUUAGAUAAUGUAGAUUAAGGUUUAUUCUGAUUUUAACUUUAUAUUUUAUAUUUAUAGUCUUCCAUAUCUUGCUGUCUUAGCAUACAUACAGUAACACUCCUAAAACCUGAUUAAUCGAGGUUCAAUUUAUUUGGGGACCAACACAGGUCUGAGAUCUUGGUCUGCUGGCUUCACCAGAAUAAUUUGGGUCUAUGUAAUGCAUAAGUAUGUGUAGAACCUCGGGGUACGAUUUAACACUGUUUUACUGUCAGCUAUGGUUUGGUUUUAAUGAAUGCUUAUGAGUCCUGAACGAAGGCGCUGUAGACUUGGUCCCUUGAAAAUCUCACAUUAUGAACAAGCUAUUGACUAAUGACUAUUUGGACGUGAUUUGUGUAUGAAAAGACAGACCUUUUAAGUAGUAAGAGUGAGAGAGGAGUGUGACAUGGUUUUUAUAGACACGAAUGAGAGAAUAACGGAUCGAUUUGACUGUGCAAUUAAUGCCAAAAUUUAAGAUUACGAAGGAUUGUAGAUAAGGCUGCGCAUUAGGAUAGACAAAGUGAUUUUGUAUUCUACAUCAUUGGGAGCCCAUGACAUGUUGUCUACCAAUGGGGAUAGCGCCAGUGCUGUAGGUGGCUACCAACAUAGGUGCUAUCGUAGCAAGGGUUGUUGUUUUCAUUUGGUAUUUGACGGUUAUCAAUUUGAUUAAACAUAUUACUUAAUAUUUCUUGGAAGAAGCAUAAGUACAGUUGUCAACAUAGACAGCAUUUUGUGCCAUGUUUUUUCCAAGAAAUUAUUUUCUAUUAAACAUGGACAUUCCUGGUGCUUUAGAUCGUAGAUGAAGAGUUCUUUUGAAAACAACAUAAACUUGACAUGAAUUAGGGUUCACAUGACUAAGGACAGACAUAGCAACGGAAGGGAAAAUGCAAAAUUUGAUUAGAACUACUUAGACACAAUGUAAAAACUAGUGUUAAAGUGGGCAACAUAGCCUAUUCCGUCUAAACAUUGGUCUAUGUAGAGAUGAAAUUUGAAUAACGGGUUCAGCCUUGACAAAUAAGCUGUCACGCAGCUCCAACUGAAAACCCAUAAAAAAAAAAAACUUUCGAUUCAACAUAUUGCUUCAUAAUUUUAAUCUAUUUUGGAUUUGCCGUCUGUUCAGAAUAUGGAUCUGUCUAUAAUAUGGUGCUUGCACAGUAGUAUAAUAUUGAUUGAGUAAUAAGCGGAAAGCUUCCAAAAUAGGACCCCCUGAAAGAAAGGGAUGAAAGCGACUCCAAGGUGGAUUAAUCCUAUUAUUUGUUUAGAAUAAGCUCAUUUAACACAACCCGCCACUGAAUGGAAUAACACUUUGUGAGAUAUAUGGUUGGCGCAUAGGCCGAGAGCAUCUUGAACAAACUUGUGACAUUAUCUUAUCUUGAGUUGUUCUCUUAUCGACUCUCGGUGAAUGUGACACUUCAAAUCCGAUUGUAAUAAAAUUUGCUCUCAACCCAGACAAGAAGAUGAAUAGGUAUAUGUACCUAGGACCUAGAUGAACAAUCUGCUCGUGGCUUUUAUUUUCUGUGCAGACGACGUUGCAGCCGUCGCAAAUAACAAAAUAAUUGUUAUGGUAAUCAGCAUGGACUCUAGUAGGUAUCACACAUUCUUCCGAAGCCUAUUUGUCGGCUUUAUCGAUCGACACACUCUGACGAUAGAAUGAGAAGGGGUUUUCUUGCCUAAAAAUAGGCCCAAAAUCGUAGAAAACAUUCCCAUCGGUCCCAUAUCGGCUCUCGGGCUGGAUCAUCGCGCAAAUGAGGCAAAAAAAAACGCGGCUGUAGGUCUAUAAAUGCGCUGCAUCACAUAUCGUGCCGUAUUGUGUCUUAUCGUGUCCCGCUCUCAUAUCGAAUAUAUCCGUACACAAUUGCAAGUGCCGUAUGCCGGUAUCAGCUGUUUGAAACGGGUUUUUAACGACAAUUAAAAAAUAUAGUGUACCACCUAUUAUGACGAUGUUGGCAUUUGGUAGAUCGUUUGGUAUCGAUUGCAGGGCGUGACUGUAUCAUGCAGUUCUUUUCUAAUGCACCGUUUUUGGAUUGCAAAUAGGGUAUGUGUUCCAUCAUUAAUCUCACGCUCCCAUAUUCAUCCUAUUCGAAAACAAGAGUUUACGGCACCGAUUGAUUCCGUUCUUUUUGUUUUCAUGGGUGCUCACUUCUAACAAAAAAAUACAAAAAUAAGGAACAAAACAAACAGCGCUUCAAUCCUUUGUUUUUCGUAGGAUGAAAAUGGGAGCCACAUGCUUAAGAAGGGAACCAAUACCCUAUGCGUGGAUUUUUUUUGUAGAAAAUUUCCCUGUAGCGAAGGCUUUCCAAUUUGUAUCAAUUCAGUUUCAGUCAUCGCUGCUUUAUAGGGUGGGUUGGGGCAAGAUGGGUCACGAGGCAAGAUGAAUCAGUUCCGCUUACGAGCGCAUUACUUGUAUUGAUAUUUUUCAGGUGACCAGCAUGAAACUACGAAAGUUAAUUGGAAUUGAAAAAUAAACUAUCAUUGGAGUGUAUCCAUAUAUUCUUCACAUAAACGAUAGCGGAGCAAAAUGGGUCACCUUCAAUUUUGAGCGUUUUGGAGGACCGUGAACCAGGGUUAAAUUGAUUGUAAACUUCAUGGAUGUCUAGAGAUGAGUGUGGACUAUUAAAUUUUUAGCCUUUCUUUAUUUUUAAAGGACUUUCAAUGUAGGGUCUUGUACUAUUUGGGCAGGUGUUCCUAUUUUGGGCACUUUUCGCUAUAACUAAGCCAGUUUCAAACCGAUUGAUUAGAUUUUUGUAUAGAGUUAGGCACGUACAGUCAGGGCGCAAAAUUUUCGAGCAGACGAGUUGAAGUUCAUCGUACGGCAAUUUUCAUUCACUUGCCUGCAUAUUCAUAUUCAGCUGCUCGAUACUCGUUUGUCAACUGAAUGAAAUUCAAUGAAUAUUUGUAAACAUCUUACAAAGUGUUAAAUUACUGAUAAAAUAUUAACGUUUCGAUUGCAUUUAACGGUGCUUUAUACAGAUCUUUUCCUAUUUGAUUGUUGUGGAGUGUGUUUGGAAGGAAUCGUAGCCAUAAACGUAGGUAAUUAUGAAGAUAUUUCUCGAUCGGCUUCAUAUUCAAUGACUACGAAUUGACUGACUGUGUGAAGAGGGAGACCGAAAAUGAAUUUGUUUGUUUUGAGUAUUCAGUGCAGAAUCAUUCAAAUUCGUGCUGUUUUCAGUCAAUGACUAUGAAAAUUUUGCACCCUGCGUACAGUAUCUAACUCUGUACAAAAAUUCAAAUCAAUCGCUUUGAAAUCGACUUAGUUAUAGCGGCAAGUGCCCAAAACAGGUACACCCACCCAAAUGGUACAAGACCCUUUUUCUUUUUUAACUGAAAUUGUUGGUACUAAACAAUCGAUUGCUACUAGCAGUUUGUUCGUUGUUUACGUUUUUGUGGAACCUUGCUAUUCUGAACUGUGAGUGUUUUUGGGUUUCGAGAACAUUAGAUUGUUGGCCUAAGGUCCCCUAUCACAACCUAUCACAAAUUAGGGUAAAACGGGCUAACUUAACCUCCUUUUGAAAGGACGCUGCUACGAUUUUCUUCGAUUGGUCUUAAAUUUUCAGAGUUUGUUACUUACAUCGAGUCGUAUUUUCUCCUUUGUUAUUCGCAAUGGAGAUUUUUACGGGUGGCUUAUUGGGCCUACGCCAACACUCCUGUCUCGCCGGAGGUCCAUCGUGUCAGUUCAGUUUAACGUCCCAACCUACACUGUGACGACCACGCUAAUGGGGCUACCACCUUGGAUCUAGCUGGGCGUGGUGCAGCGUUUCUUACUCAGCCGCUGGAUGCCAGAACAGACGCUCGAAAGCCUUGGUGAACAAACGCUCGGGUCGUACAAGUCAGAAGGACAACAUGCCCAGGCUGCAUUACCAGCUAAGCACACAACUCUUAGCUGGCGGUCUUUGUCAUCACUUGACCCGUGGAAGCAUGAGGUAGGAACUUGUGAGGACCAGAGCUAUGUUGGACGCUCUCCUUAUCAACUCACCGUUUUACAGCCCUUCGCCAAACCCCCCCUCCCCCCAAAAACUACGUGGUUUAUGAACGGUUUUUUUUUUACUCCUCAUCUGUAGAGCCUUUUUAACCACUGCGUGUGUAUGAACGGUUCCUUUGGUGCGGUUGCCUUCGUCAUUCGCAUUACGAGAAAAAUGUCAACUCUUAAGCAGAGUGAAAUUGAAACGUGAAAUUUAGUGUGAUUAUUGGAUUUCCAGUGCUAAAGAGGCUGGAGGCUGGUUAUCGAUAGUCUAAUUUUUUUUUUGUAUUCCUGUGUAUUUUAAAACUAAUGCUAAAUCUCCACUUCAUAGUCUACAUGUUUUUGCUUCCAUCUAAUAAAGCAUUGGCAAACGUGUAAGUCGGAAUAUCUGUAACAAUUGGCUAUUAUCCGUCUGAUGUGACGGGAAUUAGCGCAUAUGGAUAUGACGAAGCAAAUUUAAACCUUACCCAAACCAAAAGCGUGGUUUUAUGCUUUCACGAUUUAAACAAAUCAUUCUAGAACACUACAAUUGGAAAAACACAAAAUACAAAUUACACAUUUGGGCAGUGUAAGCUGCACCAACAUGACCUAAAAAUGUUUUACCCUGAUUGGGUAGAUUCCCCAAAUAAAAUAAACCAAUCCAUCUAUUUACCCCAUUUCAAAAGCGUCAUGUGCAAAAAAAGCUUACAUUUCACACCAUUCAGGUUAUGCUUGGUCAAUCAGUGAAGUAAACUACCUUGGAUUAGCGAAGCGACGAAGGCAAUGAAUGGAAACGUUUUAAUCCUUUUCGGAUUGCAUUCCCUAGCAGCACCAGCAGCAGCAGCAAGGGCUGUUUUUCUCACUUUGUGCCUGUUUGUGGUGAGCCUGCAGCUAUUGCAAUGCCUAUCCUAGACGAAGCCCGAGGGCGGCUCCAGAGAAGGUCGUCAAUUUAUGCCAAAUUAAGUUCAUCUGCAUAUAUUUGUGCCCCAGUUCUUUUAUGCUAGUAUAGUAUAAUAAAAGGGCUGAUCCGACAAAUCGGCGAAUAAACGUGCGGCUCUGGCGAGGAGUGGGUAAGGAUAAGGACAGGAUGUCGGCGGCGGCAAGAAUUGCGAAAAAGCCCCCUUUCAAUUCGCUGCAGCCACAAACAUGCAACGUCACACUGUGAUUUCUCGUUUUGAGGUGGGAAAGAACUGAAAAUAGAAAGAACGAUUCGAGUUCUCUCAUUUAAAAUUCCUGGCACAAACAGAGUCACGUAGAGGCCGUAGAGCAGCGUGGUGUUCCCUCGCUAGCGCCUAUCAGGCCAACCGAACGAAAGACCGACCGACCGACCAACCAACCAAGUUCAAGUUCACUAGUGCAUUCGUGCUUUCCCUGGAUAGAUCCGUUUUUGCAGUCUCUCUAUCAUGUUCUAUCGACAUCUUCGUGCGGUUCGUACCUAUUCCAUGUGAAGCGCGUGUGUGUCGGAUUGUGUUUGGAUUGCUGUCGUUACAUUCGUUACACCGUUUAUUGCAUUUGACAUCGCCGGAAACGACAUUGUUCUAUUGUUCAACUCCGCUGUUAUGUUGUAAAAAAGAGCAAAUAACAAUCUAACACACAAAAGAGAGUACUAUAUGAGCUGAGAAAAGGAGGAAGAUUGUAAGAAAAAGACGUACACGCGAUAAAAAUAUACGUGUAAUUGAGAGGAAAGCUAUUUCGGAAGCGGAAAGCAGCAGAAAAAAGGAGCGAAAAUU